CCUACGGGUGGCAGCAGUGGGGAAUAUUGCACAAUGGGGGAAACCCUGAUGCAGCGACGCCGCGUGAGUGAAGAAGUAAUUCGUUAUGUAAAGCUCUAUCUGCAGGGAAGAAAAUGACGGUACCUGUGUAAGAAGCCCCGGCUAACUACGUGCCAGCAGCCGCGGUAAUACGUAGGGGGCAAGCGUUAUCCGGAUUUACUGGGUGUAAAGGGAGCGUAGACGGCAGUGCAAGUCUGGAGUGAAAGGCGGGGGCUCAACCCCCGGACUGCUCUGGAAACUGUACGGCUAGAGUGCAGGAGAGGUAAGUGGAAUUCCUGGUGUAGCGGUGAAAUGCGUAGAUAUUAGGAAGAACACCAGUGGCGAAGGCGGCUUACUGGACUGGAACUGACGUUGAGGCUCGAAAGCGUGGGGAGCAAACAGGAUUAGAUACCCCAGUAGUC
rnacentral:rRNA from 1 species